rnacentral:misc_RNA from 1 species
AUUACCAAAAAUAUUGUAUUGAAUAAACCGGCCACCGUGACUCAACGUUGCAGGAAUAUUCUCCAUUCCGGCCAUCGGCAGCGGCGGCAUAGCAGGUUGCUGUCCCGCCGCCGCAUCCGACAUCACCGUAUCCGUUUGCGGAGCUGAACCAUCCAUUUUUUACCGUAAAUAGUAAACCCUAGGAUCAAAUUUUCCCUCUUUUCUCCUAUUUCAGUCCUUUUAGCUUUUUCUGUUUGUGUGUGAAAAAAAAUGUGUGUUUUGGAGAAAGUGAAGUUUG